CCUACGGGAGGCAGCAGUGGGGAAUAUUGGACAAUGGGGGGAACCCUGAUCCAGCGACGCCGCGUGAGUGAAGAAGGAUCUCGGUAUGUAAAGCUCUAUCAGCAGGGAAGAAAAUGACGGUACCUGACCAAGAAGCCACGGCCAACUACGUGCCAGCAGCCGCGGUAAUACGUAGGGGGCAAGCGUUAUCCGGAUUUACUGGGUGUAAAGGGAGAGUAGACGGUGCAGCAAGUCUGAUGUGAAAGGUCGGGGCCCAACCCCGGGACUGCAGUUGAAACUGUUGACCUGGAGUACAGGAGAGGUAGGCGGAAUUCCUAGUGUAGCGGUGAAAUGCGUAGAUAUUAGGAGGAACACCAGUGGCGAAGGCGGCUUACUGGCGUGUAACUGACGUUGAGGCACGAAAGCGUGGGGAGCGAACAGGAUUAGAUACCCUUGUAGUC
rnacentral:rRNA from 1 species